AGCCAUGUGGUGAGCACAAAGCGAACUAUUCUUUCGCCUUUUACUAAAGAAUACCGUAUGCUCGUCAUUUAUAGUGGCAUAUGUCUAUUUUUGGAGAGUCUCUUUUUCGUGAAGGGCU